rnacentral:rRNA from 1 species
CCCCUACGGAGGCAGCAGUGAAGAAUAUUGGUCAAUGGGCGGGAGCCUGAACCAGCCAAGCCGCGUGAGGGAAGAAGGUACAGCGUAUCGUAAACCUCUUUUGUCAGGGAACAAAGGCGGGGACUAGUCCCCGGAUGAGGGUACCUGAAGAAAAAGCAUCGGCUAACUCCGUGUCAGCAGCCGCGGUAAUACGGAGGAUGCGAGCGUUAUCCGGAUUUAUUGGGUUUAAAGGGUGCGCAGGCGGCCUGUUAAGUCAGCGGUAAAAGCCCGGGGCUCAACCCCGGCGAGCCGUUGAAACUGCAUCC